rnacentral:tRNA from 1 species
GGCACCAAACGAAUUGUUUAGCGUUUUUGAAAGUUUUAAGAGAAUUUUGGAUCUCUUUUGCAGGAAAAGGAUAAAUUUGUUCUACUCGAAUCAGUGCUAC